CCUACGGGAGGCAGCAGUGAGGAAUAUUGGUCAAUGGACGAGAGUCUGAACCAGCCAAGUAGCGUGAAGGAUGACUGCCCUAUGGGUUGUAAACUUCUUUUAUAUGGGAAUAAAACAGGGUAUGCAUACCCUCUUGUAUGUACCAUAUGAAUAAGGAUCGGCUAACUCCGUGCCAGCAGCCGCGGUAAUACGGAGGAUCCGAGCGUUAUCCGGAUUUAUUGGGUUUAAAGGGAGCGUAGGUGGAUUGUUAAGUCAGUUGUGAAAGUUUGCGGCUCAACCGUAAAAUUGCAGUUGAAACUGGCAGUCUUGAGUACAGUAGAGGUGGGCGGAAUUCGUGGUGUAGCGGUGAAAUGCGUAGAUAUCACGAAGAACUCCGAUUGCGAAGGCAGCUCACUGGACUGCAACUGACACUGAUGCUCGAAAGUGUGGGUAGCAAACAGGAUUAGAUACCCCAGUAGUC
rnacentral:rRNA from 1 species